UACGGAGGGGGCUAGCGUUGUUCGGAAUUACUGGGCGUAAAGCGCACGUAGGCGGCUUUGUAAGUUAGAGGUGAAAGCCCAGGGCUCAACCCUGGAAUUGCCUUUAAGACUGCAUCGCUUGAACAUCGGAGAGGGAUGCGGAAUUCCAGGUGUAGCGGUGAAAUGCGUAGAUAUCGAGAGGAACACCUGCGGCGAAGGCGGGUUGCUGGGCUGAUGACUGACGCUGAGGCGCGAAAGCCAGGGGAGCGAACGGG
rnacentral:rRNA from 1 species